rnacentral:misc_RNA from 1 species
UCCUCUCAAAGCCUACUUGAGCUCGCAAGGUAUAACAGCUCCUAUAAUGUUUAGCUCAGCUUUAGCUCUAGCUUUACACACGCCCAUCAACAUCUUUCUUGUAAAAGCCAAGGGUCUUGAGGGCGUGUCCAUGGCUAUAUGGAUAACCGAUCUUAUAAUUGUUAUUUUACUAGCUUCAUACGUGUUGCUGAAGGAAAAUGGUAAGGGAGGGAAGUGGAAUGAGGGAGGAUGGCUAGACCAAGGCGUUUAUGACUGGCUCAGGUUGCUAAAGCUGUCUGGACCAUGUUGCCUUACCACCUG